rnacentral:rRNA from 1 species
GACAGAGGGUGCAAACGUUGUUCGGAAUUACUGGGCGUAAAGCGCGUGUAGGCGGCAGCGCAAGUCGGAUGUGAAAUCCCAUGGCUCAACCAUGGAAGUGCACCCGAAACUGCGUCGCUAGAGUCCUGGAGAGGAAGGUGGAAUGCUUGGUGUAAAGGUGAAAUUCGUAGAUAUCAAGCGGAACACCGGUGGCGAAGGCGGCCUUCUGGACAGUGACUGACGCUGAGACGCGAAAGCGUGGGGAGCAAACAGG